rnacentral:rRNA from 1 species
UACAGAGGUCUCAACCGUUGUUCGGAUUCAUUGGGCGUAAAGGGUGCGUAGGCGGUCGUGCAAGUCGGAUGUGAAAUCUCAGGGCUCAACCCUGAAACUGCAUUCGAUACUGCGCGGCUAGAGUGCUGGAGGGGAGACUGGAAUUUACGGUGUAGCAGUGAAAUGCGUAGAGAUCAUGAGGAAGACCAGUGGCGAAGGCGGGUCUCUGGACAGUUCCUGACACUGAGGCACGAAGGCCAGGGGAGCAAACGGG